rnacentral:rRNA from 1 species
CAAUAGCGUAUAUUAAAGUUGUUGCAGUUAAAAAGCUCGUAGUUGGACCUUGGACCUGGACAGGCGGUCCGCCUCACGGCGAGUACUGUCUUGCUGGGUCUUUCCUCUUGGUGAUCUGUUGUUUCGGCAGCAGGGAACCAGGACCUUUACUUUGAAAAAAUUAGAGUGUUCAAAGCAGGCUCGACGCCGGAAUAUAUUAGCAUGGAAUAAUAAAAUAGGACGUGCGGUUCUAUUUUGUUGGCUUUUGGAAUCGCCGUAAUGAUUAAUAGGGACAGUCGGGGGCAUUAGUACUCACAUGCUAGAGGUGAAAUUCUUGGAUUUUGUGAAGACUAACUUCUGCGAAAGCAUUUGACAAGGAUGUUUUCAUUA